GCCUAGGCGUCUAGAGCCGAUGAAGGACGUGGCUAAGCUGCGAAAAGCUUCGGGGAGCCGCUAAGUUGGCUAUGAUCCGGAGAUCUCCGAGAUUGGGAAACCAAUCAGGGCUCAUCCCCUGAAAGCACAUUGUGCGGGGAACGCAGGGAACUGAAACAUCUAAGUACCUGCAGGAAAAGAAAUCAAAUGAGAUUCUGCUAGUAGCGGCGAGCGAACGCAGAAUGGGCCAAACCAGCAUGCGUGCAUGUUGGGGUUGUAGGACUACCAUCAAGGGGAAGUUGCUAGGAGAAGUGUCUGGGAAGUCACACCAAAGAGAGUGAAAGUCUCGUAUCCGAAAGCGAUGAAACUGGGGUAGUAUCCUGAGUAGGACGGGGCACGUGAAAUCCUGUCUGAAUCUGGGGGGACCACCCUCCAAGCCUAAAUACUACUUACUGACCGAUAGUGUACCAGUACCGUGAGGGAAAGGUGAAAAGAACCCCGAUAAGGGGAGUGAAAUAGAAUCUUGAAACCGUGUGCUUACAAACAGUCAGAGGGCUAUUGUAAAGCCUGAUGGCGUACCUUUUGCAUUAUGAGCCGCCGAGUUAUGGUGUGUAGCAAGAUUAAGCCGUUGUAGGUGUAGUCGUAGGGAAACCGAGUCUGAAUAGGGCGUUAGUUGCAUGCUGUAGACCCGAAACGGGAUGAGCUUACCAUGGGCAGGUUGAAGCGAGGGUAAAACUUCGUGGAGGACCGAACGCAUAUAGGUUGAAAACUGUUGCGAUGACCUGUGGUAAGGGGUGAAAGGCCAAUCAAAUUCCGUGAUAGCUGGUUCUCCUCGAAAUGCAUUUAGGUGCAGUGUUAGAUGUUUCGAUGCGGGGGUAGAGCUCUGUCUGGGCUAGGGGCCUCACCCGGUUACCAAACCCAUGCAAACUGCGAAUACCGUAUCGUGAAGUCUGGCAAUGAGCCCACGGGGGAUAAUCUUCGUGGACGAAAGGGAAACAACCCAGACCGUCGGCUAAGGCUCCUAAGUUUAAGCUAAGUGUGAAAGGAUGUUGGAUCGCUCAGACAAUCAGGAGGUUGGCUUAGAAGCAGCCACCCUUUAAAGAGUGCGUAAUAGCUCACUGAUCGAGCGAUCCUGCGCCGAAAAUGUAUGGAACUAAGUUUAACGCCGAAGCCACGGGAUUAUAGCAAUAUAAUCGGUAGAGGAGCGUUCCCGGAGGGGUGAAGGUGUACCGUGAGGAGCACUGGACAUCCGGGAAGUGAGAAUGCAGGCAUGAGUAGCGCUAAUGCCGGUGAGAUUCCGGCACACCGUAAGCCCAAGGGUUCCGUCGGAAGGUAACUCCGCGACGGGUUAGUCGGCCCCUAAGAUGAGGCAGAAAUGCGUAGUCGAUGGGAAACGGGUUA
rnacentral:rRNA from 14 species